CCCUUAGGUUCGGAAUAACUCAGAGAAAUUUGAGCUAAUACCGGAUAAUGUCUUCGGACCAAAGAUUUAUCGCCUUUGGAUGGGCCCGCGUAGGAUUAGAUAGUUGGUGGGGUAAUGGCCUACCAAGUCGACGAUCCUUAGCUGGUCUGAGAGGAUGAUCAGCCACACUGGGACUGAGACACGGCCCAGACUCCUACGGGAGGCAGCAGUGGGGAAUAUUGGACAAUGGGCGAAAGCCUGAUCCAGCAAUGCCGCGUGAGUGAUGAAGGCCUUAGGGUUGUAAAGCUCUUUUACCAGGGAUGA
rnacentral:rRNA from 1 species